rnacentral:rRNA from 1 species
AACGAACGCUGGCGGCGUGGAUAAGACAUGCAAGUCGGACGGGAUUUUCCGUUGUAGCAAUACGAUGGAAAGUCUAGUGGCGAACGGGUGCUUAACACGUGGGCAACCUGCCAGGAAGUGGGGGAUAGCUCGCCGAAAGGCGAAUUAAUACCGCAUGUGAUUAGAGAGGACAUCCUUUCGAAAUUAAAGUCGGGGCAACCUGACGCUUCUUGUGGGGCCCGCGGCCUAUCAGCUAGUUGGUGUGGUAAAGGCUCACCAAGGCUUUGACGGGUAGCUGGGCUGAGAGGGAGACCAGCCACACUGGGACUGAGACACGGCCCAGACACCUACGGGUGGCAGCAGUCGAGAAUUUUUGACAAUGGGGGAAACCCUGAUCGAGCGACGCCGCGUGGAGGAUGAAGGUCUUCGGAUUGUAAACUCCUGUCAUUGGGGAACAAGGUGCAUACGUUAACUGCGUGAGCAUUGAUAGUACCCGAAGAGGAAGAGACGGCUAACUCUGUGCCAGCAGCCGCAGUAACAC